AGUGAAUUUUGGAGGGUCAAGAAAUACUUUGCAUAUAAAAAGCAUGGUUGAUUUACCAUUUGUUUAGAUUUAAAAUUUCAAAUUAAAUGUUUUAAAAAACACAAGUAUUCAACCCACCACACCAUUCGUUUCACCUGUUCCUUGAUCCUGCCCAGCUUUUUAAUGCGUAUACCCUUUCUUUCGCAAAAUCUUGCCUUCAGCACAUUCCCCUCCAAAUACCCUUCCUAACCAGGCUACUCAAAGUUCUCCACUCCACCGUUGUUGAAGCGUUCGCACCAGGCGAGUAAUUCCCGCACUUCCCGAGCGUAGAGUUGUUCCUGGGACUGCAGAUCACUCUGGGACUGCGACUGCGACUGGGAUUUGGACUGAGACUGGCCCAAGGAUGAACCAGGGAGCAAAGGUCAGACAUUGUGGCCAGCUGGCUGGCUGCUGGUGCCGCUACCCGAGUUGCUGAGGAGGCUCCGUUCGCUGGCCACGCUUCCCGGAGCGUAGAUCAACUCGCUGGGUUCCUUGAUGCAUUCCUGGCCGUUCUUCCGACUGCUCCGCGUGCUCUGAUUCCGCCAGGACUGCAGGUGACCUUCCGCCGGAUGCUGUGGGACCAGGGGAAUCAGCUGCUGCUGCUGCUGUGGAGGCUGCUGCUCGUCCACCUUGACGUACAGUCGUUCCAUGUCGUCCAGAUCCCCAUCCGCCGUGUGGUACAGCGCGUGCUCGUCCUCGUGCGACAUCAGCAUGGCCAUCGGGGAGGGAGAUCCACCGCAGCCCGAGUCUGCCAGACCGUUGUAGCACAUCGAGGAGCCGUCGAGAUCCAGGAGAUUCUGCUGGUUCUUGCCCUGAUCCGUGUUUAGCACCUUGAAGCGGGCACUUUCCCUGCCGAUGCUGCAGUUGGGCGGCAGCUGCUGCCGCCUCACGCUGGCGAACUGCGAGGAUAUCGGCGAGGACUGCUUGGCGCCAGGAGCCGCCUCAUAGGUGUGGCAGUUGCUCAGCUUGUUCUCGGUGAUGUGGAUGUGUCUCUGCUUGUCCUUGGGGUAGUAAUACUGCUCAGAGUAGACAGAGCGCGAAGGACCCGUGUUCGUGGGGUAUAUCUCGCUGGUGGUGGACAUCUGCUGGUAGAUGUUGCUGGGUGGCAGUUGCUGGUGCUGCUGGAGAGCCUGGUGUUGCUGGUGCGUCUGCUGCGCCUGUUGCUGCUGAUGCUGCUGCUGCUGGUAGUGUGGGUGCAUUGGGCGCUGGAGCCCAUAGCCGGGCACUGGUCGCUGUUGAUAACGCGGCUGCUGCUGCUGUUGCUGCUGGUGGGGACUCAGGAUCGAAGAGGUGGCAUAAGGGGCCGGGGAGGCGUUGCCAUGCCGACCAUACUCGCUGGGUGCCUUGCCAAAACUGGACACCUCUGCAUAGUCGGUCGGUAUGUUGGAGUACUCGCCCACGUACCUGCAAUGAACAGAUAAAAACAAACAGAGUUGAAACACAGAAUACUCGGUUAUUACUUGGCUUGUUUAUUACAAUAUUCCUCUGACCCACUGGCUCCAUGGCCCCGUGCGCCCCCUGCUUCCGACCAUUUCGGUUAUAAAUUCGUGCAAUUUAUGGCGCGGCGC
ensembl:ncRNA asRNA:CR44897 antisense RNA:CR44897